rnacentral:rRNA from 1 species
UACGUAGGGUGCGAGCGUUAAUCGGAAUUACUGGGCGUAAAGCGUGCGCAGGCGGUGAGCUGUGUCCGAUGUGAAAGCCCCGGGCUUAACCUGGGAAUGGCAUUGGAAACUGGCUCGCUGGAGUGUGGCAGAGGGGGGUGGAAUUCCACGUGUAGCAGUGAAAUGCGUAGAGAUGCGGAGGAACACCGAUGGCGAAGGCAGCCCCCUGGGCUAACACUGACGCUCAGGCACGAAAGCGUGGGGAGCAAACAGG